UUUCCGUAGGUGAACCUGCGGAAGGAUCAUUAUAGAGUUCAUGCCCUCCGGGUAGAUCUCCCACCCAUUGCUAUAACUACUCCCGUUGCUUCGGCGGGCCGCUGGGCCCUGCCCGGCCGCCGGCCCCGGCUGGCGCGUGCCCGCCAGAGACCUCACAAACUCUGAAUGUUAGUGUCGUCCGAGUAACUAUACAAUCGUUAAAACUUUCAACAACGGAUCUCUUGGUUCUG
rnacentral:misc_RNA from 1 species